UUAUUCAACUUUUAUCUUCUUUUACGUUUCUCCCAUAUCGAGCACAGAGAGAAGUUUACAGUACCCUAAGAACCGUAGCGCAGCAAUGGAGUUCGUCCCUUCGGGGACAUCCGAUAAAAUUGGAACGAUACAGAGAAGAUUAGCAUGGCCCCUGCGCAAGGAUGACACGCACAAAUCGAGAAAUGGUCCAAAUUUUUUUGCCGGUCGUCGGCGUUGAGCUCCGGUACAAAAUCUGCAUUUGUUUUGUCGGUCGCCGCCGGCGAGAGUUCGUAAGUACUCGGAAUUCCUUUCGACUGUUUUAUUUCCUGUUUCCCCUAAUUUAGCUGACGACGAUAAGCAUAUUAUUGUGCCCUAGUUUUUUUUUUUUUUUUUUUUUUUGCUUUUAAGAAUCCUGAUAUUACUAUUGUUGUGAAAUUCACUCAUGAUACAUCUGAAACAUUUAUGAGAAUAUAGGCAAAUUAAGCAAAUUUGAAGAUAAACAAAUUUUGAGGAAAUGUUGUAAAGAUCACUCUUUGUUUAGUUUUUGCUGCUGCAUAUUCUGUAUUUCAAAAGUGAAAAGUAUAGGUGGAGACUCAGCAAGUGUGUUACAAUGUCGAUGGUGUUCGAUGAAUAUCUGGUAGCCAUUAUGGUUGAAGAUUUAUUUGUCCCUCUACAGUAUGGUAAGAUUUGCGUAUACUCGUAGAUCUCCACUUGUGGCAAUACACUGGCGAGAACAUUGAAGAUGGAGUGGCGCCUUCCUAUGGCAAAGAUGAAAAAAAGGACUUCAAUGAAGGUUCUAGGGUUGUAAGAAUAAUACAUGCCAUGAACUUAUGAAAUUGAGAUGGAGUUGAAAACUCAUUUUUCUAUUGUUUGUGUUUGGACUCUAUCCAGUUGGGAGGAAAAUCGGAUUCAUAAGUUCUUAUCUGGGUAUAUAAUUGUCUAACUGGUCAGGAGAGAGAUCAGAUUCGUGAGUUCCUAUCCUGCUAUAUUGUUAGCGUUGUCUAACUUGUCGAGAGGAAAGGCCAUUCAUUGAGGAUGGUAUCCCGAGAUUGGGUUCGGUGUAGGGCGAGCCACAUGCAAGCUAGAAUCACGUCCCUUCCUUUUUGGUGAGCCCACUCUUGAUCGUGGGAGCACGUCACAACAACAACAAAUCCAGUGUGAUUCCAUAAGUUGGGUCUGAGGAGGGUGAUUUGUACGUAGACUUAAUGAAGAUUGUGAGAACAUGUUGAAUGAUAUAAUUCUUUUUGUAUAAUUUGGUCAUGCACGAAUGUUCAUCAUUAUACGAUGCAUGUUAUUUCUUAUACGAUAAUCCAAA